ACAACAACAGCAGCAGCAACAUAAUCCAGAAAAUGUUAAAUAAAAUUUCCAUUAAAACGAAAAAUUCAUCUCAAAUUUCUUAUGCGUGAUUAUGGCCAUGGUCUUGUCCAGAGUAUGACAAAUAAAACAACAACAAUAACAGCAACAAGAAUAAAUAAAUAAAUACAAAUAAAUCCAAUGAGAACAUGAAAAAUUAACAUGUUUGCAAAUGUACGAUUUAAAUGAAUCAACGAAUGAGGUGGAAAAAAGAAAAACCGCAACAAGGAAAAAAAUAUCAAUUUAUAUGCAUGGUUGGCAAAUACAAAUAAAGCCAUCUAGUGUAUGUGUGCUGGUGAAUGUAUGUGAGUGUGAAAGUGUUUGUGUGUAUAUGAGGUUAAACUCAAAGUUAAUAAAAAUUUAAUGUAAUUAAAGUAUGAUCAAGUGUAAAACAACAAGCUAUGGUGACGAAAAUUGUGGAAACGAGUCUUUAAUGUGUUGAAAAAGUAGUGAACCGAAUUUUGAGAAAAUAAGAGAUAAUAAGGGGAGUGACACGGUGUGUACUUAUUUAAUUUGUUUGCAGUGUUGGUAUCAUAUGUCACAGAUGACAAUGAGUGAAGGUUAAAUUGUGGUUUGCUGGCAUCGAGGGCAUAAAUAAUUUCAAGGAAAUUGGCCACAAAACAUAUUUAAAUAAUUUUGAAGCUCAAGAAAUAAAAAUCAUUAAUUGUGUCGAAGAUUUUGAAAAAAAGUGCAUGGUUUCUCAAUUUAAUAAAAAUACCCAAAGUGAAAAAAUCCAAAGAGAAAAGUGAAUACUUGAAUCCCCUGUAGUUAUGACCACCUUAUUUUGUAAUUAAUUAAAAAAGCCCCUGCCAGGGGAAAUUGUGUUGUACACUUGUGAAAAUGCCAUACCUAGCCUGAAAUUCAACCCUUACAGGUAGCAAAUAAUGUUCCGUGAAAUUUAUACUAAUUACGGAAAUAAACUUUUCAUCUCCCAGCAAUUGCUUGCAAAGUAAUUUGUAAUUUAAUCUGGCCAAGUAAACAGCUUGCCAUUCCCCCACUCCUUUUAAGAUGGAAAUAUAGCGUUUAAUUAAAAUGCAUUGCAUAUAAGUGUUACAUUUAAUAAGCACAACGGCCAAACAAGAAAUAAGAAAUUAAUUCGGUGCGGGAAGAAAGUACAAAAAUGUAUUCACAAGUGCUUAAGCAAGAAACGAAACAAGAAAUAAUAAAUUGAGGAAAAUCUUUCAAGCAGAGCAGUACAAGUUUUUCAGGAAUGAAAAGUGUAAAGAAUGAAAAACCAUUUAUAAUUAAGUGAAACAAGUGAAGCCAGUAACCUUUACUCCAAAAAAA
rnacentral:sRNA from 1 species